rnacentral:lncRNA from 1 species
GAUAGGACAGAAGGAGGCCAUGGGGUGUGGCAGCUGUGGGUAGCAGUUGUGCAGCUCCUGGGAUGUCCCUACCUUGAGUGGCCCUGAGAUUUGAGCAGCCCCAGGUCAGCACUGAUGGGAGGAAGGGGCGAUGGGCCUCAGGCCAGUGGGGAAGGUGACAGUGAUUGUUGAAGAGGCCCUGAGAGCACAGUCCUGGUCAAAGCGAAUGAGGCGUAAGACACCAAGGCUGACAGAGAGGAAGGAGAGCGCCUAAGCUUCAGAAGGUAGGAAGCCACAGCAGAGAGACAGCCAACGAGGGUUCAGCAGGUACAGAAAUGUAGGGUGUGGCUAAAGCAGGAGGGAAGUGUUCCUGCAUGUGUGGGAGCCACUGGGGUUCUCAGCUCAGAACUUCAGACCUUGCACUGGCAGCGCACAGGGCCAUGGCAGCUGGACUGGCAGCAGCAGGGCUUGCAGCCCCCACAGGACCCACAGCCCCCUUUGCCACAGCUGGAGCAGGAACAGGCUGGCACACAGCAGCACACGGGCACACAGCAGCUGGAGCCACAGCCCCCACAGCUGGAGCCACAGCCUCCGGAACAGCCACAGCAGCUCAUGGUUCUGGUGUUGGAGAUGGAGAGGUCAGAGGAGUGUGUUAGUGAGGGAAGUGUGCAGAUGUGCAUCCUCUUGUACCUUAUAUACUUGCAUGAGUGAGGUGUGAGCCUGACACAUGGUCACUCCUUGGUUCUUGUUUGUGCCACCUCCUGGGAGAAACAUUCUAAGUAUUUUUAAGGAUUUUAUAAUAAACGUACUUUAUGUUUAUAAGAAGCCUUUUUAUUGUGUUUGCUUUUUUUUCACCUUCUCUAGCACAUUGCUUCCCCUGAUUGAGCUGAAUUCUCUCUGUUCUCCCAAGGGAGAUAGAAGCAGAGCCUCCCGGGCCAUUGGUCAUCACGCUGACAUGACUCUUGGUCCUGGAGGUCCAUAAACACUCUCAGCAGUGCUCACAAGUCAGGGGACGUCGGAUGAGUGCAGAGGGCCCCUGUUAGUCAGGCCAGGCCUACAUGGGCAAUAGAGCAGGCUCCCCCCGCAUUUGCCAUUGUAGGCUUCACAUCUGGCGGCCAAGCCCUCAUUAGCGAGCACAGGGCUGUGCGCUGUGGAAGGAGCAGCCUGCCCAUUCUGGGGUGCGUAUGAAGCUUCAAUGGCCCCGGCUAGAUUCACGUCUGACCCAGAUAGCCAGAGUGCCCUUCACCAUGACUCCUCAAACUCCUGGGAACUGCCAGUGUGGGCUGGCAUGAAGUGUGUGCGGGGAUCUGCUCCAUGUCCCAAUUUUCCCUGUGACCAAGGACUCUGGGUCUAUGCACUGGCUUCUGUCUGGGAAUACAGUGAGAAUCUGAGACUCCUUAGAGGGACUGAAAUCAGAGUUCUAGUCACUAAACCUAAAGCCUUUUGUUCUGCAGAUCAGGUGAAAACCUAGGGAGGGGACUGUGCAGCUUCUGAUUUAGUAGCCCACACCAACUUCCUGUGAGACAAACCACUCCCAUCUCUACCCUGGAUGUGCUGUCCAUCGUGGUGGCCGUGCCCGCCACGCCUUUGAUGAUUUACCUUCCUGAUUGCAGGUGUCUAACGGGGGCAGUUUAAGGAACUCUUGCUAGCAGUGUAUGUGCUACCAUGGGAAAUAGGAUCGUCAGUGCCUUUAAUCUCGUCAGAUUAGAGAACCAAGUUUAGAAAUCCCAGAGCUAAUUCAGAGAACAACCUCAGGAUGCUAUUCUUCUGCAGCCAUGAUCUGCACCAGUUGAGUUCAAGCAGAGAAGCAGAACCACAAGAGAAAUAUGUGUGUGCAUGUCUGUGUGUGGAUGUGUGCUUUAGUGUGUGUGUACCUACCUGUGUGUUGGCUUACACAGUUUUGGAGGCUGGCUAAACAGUUUCUCCAAGGUUGUCUCCUGGUCUGAUGCUGGGCCUUGAAGUCCACAGAUAGGCAGUCAGGAGGGAAGAUCACAGGAGGCUGAGCCCGGCCGCAUGAAAUGGAACCCAAGGUGGAUGGGCUGAGGUCUGCAUCCAGUCCUGUUGCCCUGACUUUGGUGAUGAGGAUGUCUUGCAGAAGCCAUGGCCCCUUGUGAAAGAGUCAAACACACACUUGGCCCAGGAGCCUGAGAUGCUGAAAAGCGCCAGGGAAAACGGAGAACAAUUGUAGCCCAGCUGCUGCUGCAUGGGUGCAGGUAAAUGGACACACCAGCUGCAUUGCCGGUGCUGUCAAAGCUGCUCUCUCCACCCUCCGGCCAUGAUGAGAGGACUCACUUCAACAAUAGCCUACAAGAAAGGGAUUCUGGGAAAUGUAGUCCAGCCAAGUGGACACACCACCCACCACCACUACUAGGCACAUGCAGUGUCUUAAAACAAUACCUUUUACCUACACAUUGAAAAAUAUAAAUGGAAUGAAUAGCAGUUUUAUUCACCUUGUCAUCCAAUUGCUAAUUUGAUCAUCUGUAUUCAAGUGACAACUCUGGCUGUCUGAUGGAGUGACAAUCUUCACAGAAUACUAUUUUGAGGCUCAUUUGACAUAGAGACUGAAAAGCAGAAAUUCAAAAGGCAUUAUUAAGAUUAACAUGCUGUCACCUAGAUAAUUCAACUUGCACAUACUUAAGAAAACAUGAGGAUCUCAAUCUCAAUGAGUAGUCAUAGUUUCAUCUAAUGUGACACAACUGUGCUCUGUAUGACCAAGACUAUGACAAGUAUUUUUUCCCCCAGAAUAAUUUCAGGCCCAGGAAGCAAGCUCAUUCUUUUCCUUUGAUAUCCUUGAACUUAAAUACUUAGAUAUAAAAUUU